rnacentral:lncRNA from 1 species
GGAGUUUUAUGUCAUAUCUGUUGCUGUGUCCAUCUAUUUUAUAUCAAGCUGAAAAAUAUAAUUUAGUCCCAGCGUCUUAUUUUGUUGGCAUCUGUUAAUACCCUUGAUUUCUAUUAUAUUUGUCAAUCGUUUGACAUUAAAAGGUCGGUUAUAUUAUAUUUCGUUAAUGCUAUUUUUGUGGAGAAUUGUUGAGUGAAUUAUGAGUGCGUACCCAAAACUAUCAGAAUGGAAAUUGACUUAAUUGAAUUACUUGCCGAAAGGACAGAAGCUGCCUAAGUAUUAUAUUUGGUCUGUCUUUGUUUUAUGUGAUGUUUGCUAAGAAUUUAUUACAUUGUUUGAUUUAGUACCUUUUGUGUUGAGAUUGUAUGAAGUCAUAUGCAGGUUGCCAUUAGACUCUGAUGAUGUCUUGUGUAUCUGUUUUAAUUUGGCAUUAGUCCCACAGUAGUAGUAUUCUCGCUCUUUUGGUCUUCUUUUCUCUUUUUAGCAUCCAAUCUAACGCCCUUUGUUCUUUACUUCUUUAUUUCAAUUAUUUGAACCCUAGUGGCUGGACUAAUUAUUGCAAUCCGAGUAGGCCCACUAAGGGGUAUGAUCCUACUGAAAUGUUCAUCAUCUACUUAAUCUACUUAAUGGUAAAUAUGGAUAUUAAGCGUUCCAACGGUCCAUGUUCUAUGUUUUUGUUAACUGGGAAUUCAGAUAGAUUAUUUGGUGAGAUCCCUAACCUUUUAAAAUUUUGGUAGGUGGAUAGUUCUAUCUCACACUGCUCUCUCUAACCCCUUUUUAAUGAUAAGAAAUUUAAAAUAAAGAAAACAAAUUCUUAUCAAACUCUUUUAAUUCCUAAAGUGUUCAACAAUUAUACGUGUUGUUCAGCUUAUUAGCUGGCAAAGAGUUGCAAAUCAAACCCGUCAAUAGAAUGGAGGACAAAUACUCAAGCCUGUACCUGCUAUUUUCACCUAACCAUGUAUAACAUGGAAAUCUUACACUUUUGACCUUUCUUGGUCUCAUAUUAAUUGUUUGUUUAUUUUCUUACUAAAAAGGAUAUUAUUAUCUUCAUACAUGGCAGCUGUAUCCAUAACGAAUAUGAUAUGACUAAUGUAUGUUUCCAAGAACUUUGCAAGAAUCUUCCUAUUUAUAAUGUAGCUGUGUCUUGCAGACUUAUGUUUUCCCUCAAAACUUGGUUGUUAAUAGUCGACCUUUAGCUGAUCUUUCAUUGUCAUUUAUCCCCUUCAGAGAAAAAUUCAUGUCUUUCUGGUGCUACGAGUGAGAGAUUCAUUCAAUCUCAGUACUUUGGCUGCUUGAAGGUCCAUUUUCAACUCCAUAAAUUGUCUUCAUUGAAUCAGCGG